AUGAAGGUCGGAGACGCAAGGGAGCAGCACGUUGUCCAGCCCCUUUCUCAUGCAGAUGGGGAAACUGAGGCCCAGAGUGAGUCAGUUCUCCUGAUUCUACGUGCUUGCCAAAUUACUCUUUACUUAAACGUUUCAAACAGACUUUUCAAAUGUCUUGUCCUGUGUCGUCGGCUGCACACCAUGUUAAGCCUGCUGGCCUUGGGCCUGCCACGCCCCUGGCCCUGUGCAUACAGGGCCUGCAGCACUGAACAAGACUCCAACAGCCGGCCAGUUUGUUCAGACAGGAAGUGGCAGACGGAUCCAGGAGGGAAGAAAAGUCAUUUAAGGACACUCAGAACGUGGAUGCACAGGAUGGCGAGAGAUGCUCCUAAAGAAAGCUAUCAGUACCAGAAUCCAAGAAACAGAAAAAAUCUGUGUCGUUUUGGAAGUCUUCCCCAUCUCUGCAAGGCUUAAGAUUUCCCAGACAAUGGCAGCGAGGGACCGGCCCUGUGGAUGAAGCCUACCUUCCAGGGCUACAAAGCUAAGUCCCAUUGAUGAAGUCUGAUACUGUCGUCCACUGUGAGGUGCCAGCCAUACCACGUCAUUCCCCAUUCAUUAAUGACGUAUUUAGCGAUUCCUAUGAUGCACCAGCCACUGUGCUUGUCCAGCCAGGGAGAGAGCCAGCAGCUCAGCCAUUACACGCAUGUGCAGUAUGGUAAAUGCUAGAGAGAGGAGGAUCCGGGAGAAGGGAGCCAGCAGCUCAGGGCAGGGGAGGAUGGUGGCAGGCUGAGCCGAUCAGGAAGGCCCCGGAGGCAGCUGUGUUUGCAUUGGGAUCUGAAGAACGAGCAUCAGUUCGCCAGCAGAAGGGGGAGUAAAUGUGCUCUGGGCAGAUGGUGCAGCAUAUGGAAUGUUUGUGGGGUUGGUGGGGAGAGAGAGAGAGAGAAAUGGGAGAAAGACCUGCCUGUUUGGGGUGCUGAAUGGAGUCAGUAUGUAGAAUGCCAGGCUAGAAACGGCUGGAGAUGAGGCUGAAGAAAUAAGUAGGGGCCGGAUCCCGGGGGCCUGUGAAUCACGUUAUGGGGGCUGUACUUUCUUCCCAAGGGCAUGGGAGCCAUUGAAGCGUGUUAACAAGCAGAUGCGUGUUCUAGAAAGGCUUCUGAGAUCUCCUCUUCUCCCUCCUGCAGCUCUGAGGACAGAUCCCUAAGAGCCUCUUGGGCAGAAGUUCAUGUGACAUACCUAGGAUGGGAGUGGUCCCACUGCCACACUGAGUUUUAGGCCCGGCUCACAUACAGCUUAGAGCAAGAUGGUGACAGAUGACUCAUCCCCAAAUGACACGACGGAGCAGUCAUGGGAAGGAGGCACCUGUCAGCGUCAAGCUUACCUGGUUUGCUGGUGGACCGCACGUUUAACUGUGGAACAGGAUGCAAGCCUCUUGUCCUUCUAAAACCUUUUUAAAUCUCUCUUCUGCAUCAUGCUC
rnacentral:lncRNA from 1 species